rnacentral:rRNA from 1 species
UGGGGAAUAUUGGACAAUGGGCGAAAGCCUGAUCCAGCCAUGCCGCGUGUGUGAAGAAGGUCUUCGGAUUGUAAAGCGCUUUAAGUUGGGAGGAAGGGCAUUAACCUAAUACGUUAGUGUUUUGACGUUACCGACAGAAUAAGCACCGGCUAACUCUGUGCCAGCAGCCGCGGUAAUACAGAGGGUGCAAGCGUUAAUCGGAAUUACUGGGCGUAAAGCGCGCGUAGGUGGUUUGUUAAGUUGGAUGUGAAAGCCCCGGGCUCAACCUGGGAACUGCAUCCAAAACUGGCAAGCUAGAGUACGGUAGAGGGUGGUGGAAUUUCCUGUGUAGCGGUGAAAUGCGUAGAUAUAGGAAGGAACACCAGUGGCGAAGGCGACCACCUGGACUGAUACUGACACUGAGGUGCGAAAGCGUGGGGAGCAAACA